rnacentral:rRNA from 1 species
AUUGAUUUUAUGCUUGCAUAAAUGAUUUUUUGGAUUCGGAGCGAGUGGCGAACUGGUGAGUAACACGUGGGUAACCUGCCCCGAAGCGGGGGAUAACAUUUGGAAACAAGUGCUAAUACCGCAUAAUUAGUUGGAACCGCAUGGUUCCAACUUGAAAGAUGGCUCUGCUAUCACUUUGGGAUGGACCCGCGCCGUAUUAGUUAGUUGGUGAGAUAAAAGCCCACCAAGACGAUGAUACGUAGCCGACCUGAGAGGGUAAUCGGCCACAUUGGGACUGAGACACGGCCCAGACUCCUACGGGAGGCAGCAGUAGGGAAUCUUCCACAAUGGACGAAAGUCUGAUGGAGCAACGCCGCGUGAGUGAUGAAGGUUUUCGGAUCGUAAAACUCUGUUGUUAAAGAAGAACAAGUGUUAGAGUAACUGUUAACACUUUGACGGUAUUUAGCCAGAAAGCCACGGCUAACUACGUGCCAGCAGCCGCGGUAAUACGUAGGUGGCAAGCGUUGUCCGGAUUUAUUGGGCGUAAAGCGAGCGCAGGCGGUUUUGUAAGUCUGCUGUGAAAGCCCUCAGCUCAACUGAGGAAGUGCAGUGGAAACUACAAAACUUGAGUACAGAAGAGGAAAGUGGAACUCCAUGUGUAGCGGUGAAAUGCGUAGAUAUAUGGAAGAACACCAGUGGCGAAGGCGGCUUUCUGGUCUGUUACUGACGCUGAGGCUCGAAAGCAUGGGUAGCGAACAGGAUUAGAUACCCUGGUAGUCCAUGCCGUAAACGAUGAAUACUAGGUGUUGGAGGGUUUCCGCCCUUCAGUGCCGCAGCUAACGCAUUAAGUAUUCCGCCUGGGGAGUACGACCGCAAGGUUGAAACUCAAAGGAAUUGACGGGGGCCCGCACAAGCGGUGGAGCAUGUGGUUUAAUUCGAUGCUACGCGAAGAACCUUACCAGCUCUUGACAUCUUCUGCCAACCCAAGAGAUUGGGCGUUCCCUUCGGGGACAGAAUGACAGGUGGUGCAUGGUUGUCGUCAGCUCGUGUCGUGAGAUGUUGGGUUAAGUCCCGCAACGAGCGCAACCCUUAUUAUUAGUUGCCAGCAUUUAGUUGGGCACUCUAGUGAGACUGCCGGUGAUAAA